UACGUAGGGUGCGAGCGUUAAUCGGAAUUACUGGGCGUAAAGCGUGCGCAGGCGGUUGUGUAAGACAGAUGUGAAAUCCCCGGGCUCAACCUGGGAACUGCAUUUGUGACUGCACAGCUGGAGUGCGGCAGAGGGGGAUGGAAUUCCGCGUGUAGCAGUGAAAUGCGUAGAUAUGCGGAGGAACACCGAUGGCGAAGGCGGCAUCCUGGACCGGCAUUGACGCUGAGUGAGCGAAAGCCAGGGGAGCAAACGGG
rnacentral:rRNA from 1 species